rnacentral:rRNA from 2 species
GUCAUAUGCUUGUCUCAAAGAUUAAGCCAUGCAUGUCUCAGUACAAGCCAAAUUAAGGUGAAACCGCGAAAGGCUCAUUAAAUCAGUUAUGGUUCCUUAGAUCGUACCCACAAUUACUUGGAUAACUGUGGUAAUUCUAGAGCUAAUACAUGCAAAUAGAGCUCCGACCGGAGACGGAAGGAGUGCUUUUAUUAGAUCAAAACCAAUCGGUGGCGGGUUCGCUCGUUAUCGUACAACUUGGUGACUCUGAAUAACUUUACGCUGAUCGCACGGUCAUCGCACCGGCGACGCAUCUUUCAAAUGUCUGCCUUAUCAACUGUCGAUGGUAGGUUCUGCGCCUACCAUGGUUGUAACGGGUAACGGGGAAUCAGGGUUCGAUUCCGGAGAGGGAGCCUGAGAAACGGCUACCACAUCCAAGGAAGGCAGCAGGCGCGCAAAUUACCCACUCCCGGCACGGGGAGGUAGUGACGAAAAAUAACGAUACGGGACUCAUCCGAGGCCCCGUAAUCGGAAUGAGUACACUCUAAACCCUUUAACGAGGAUCAAUUGGAGGGCAAGUCUGGUGCCAGCAGCCGCGG